CCCUUAGAUGUUCUGGGCCGCACGCGCGCUACACUGUUCGACGCAGCGAGUCUUAACCUUGACCGAAAGGUUUGGGUAAUCUUCAGCAAAGUCGAACGUGAUGGGGAUCGAUUAUUGCAAUUAUUGAUCGUGAACGAGGAAUUCCUAGUAAGUGCAAGUCAUCAGCUUGCGCUGAUUACGUCCCUGCCCUUUGUACACACCGCCCGUCGCUACUACCGAUUGAAUGGUUUAGUGAGAUCUCUGGAUUGACGCUGGCUAGGGGGCGACCCUUGGCCAGACUGUUGAGAAACUGCUCAAACUUGAUCAUUUAGAGGAAGUAAAAGUCGUAACA
rnacentral:rRNA from 1 species